GCCUGGGUGGCUCAGUCGGUAGAGCGACCGACUUCGGCUCAGUGGGUUCGAGAGACUUCACGGUCUGUGGGUUCGCGCCCCGCGUCGGGCU
rnacentral:tRNA from 1 species